AUACGGAGGGGGCGAGCGUUAAUCGGAAUUACUGGGCGUAAAGCGUGCGUAGGCGGUUUGUUAAGUCAGAAGUGAAAGCCCUGGGCUCAACCUGGGAACGGCUUUUGAGACUGGCAGACUCGAGUUGAGUAGAGGGGAGUGGAAUUUCCGGUGUAGCGGUGAAAUGCGUAGAGAUCGGAAGGAACACCAGUGGCGAAGGCGACUCCCUGGACUCAAACUGACGCUGAGGUACGAAAGCGUGGGUAGCAAACAGGAUUAGAUACCCUAGUAGUCC
rnacentral:rRNA from 1 species